rnacentral:lncRNA from 1 species
GGUUGUUAAUGAUCUACCCUGCCUCUAGGCUGAAUCCUGAGAUGUGGAGAUUUGGACUAUGUGGAUGGAGAAGGGUCAGGGAAAGCCUGGUGGAAGAUGUGUGAUCAGGCUGUACUGUGAGGCUGCCAAAGCUAAAAACAAACUAAAAUAGGACAAGCUGUGGGAAGAACAGAUGAGGAGGCCUUAAAUGCUAAGCUCAGACACUGGGCUUGCUAGGCCAGGAAACCCCCAGCCAAGGAUGGGUUCUAACUGAUUUCUGUGUCCCGAAAAGAGCCUGACACCAGGCGAUUUGCCACGAGAAGGACAUGGCCUGGUGGCUACUGCACCUUCAGCUUCCGCACACAUAAAUACAUAUGGAACACACUGGACCUAGUCUCCAGCCUGGAGCCAUGCCUAUAGCAUGGCUGAAGCAUGAAGCAGGGCUAACUGGCCACAUUCAACCUCCAUCAGCUGAAGCACAAUACACCUGCAAACCUAUGAGUCUGAGAAUAAAGGCUUGUUAUUGAAAG